rnacentral:rRNA from 1 species
CUCUCGGCAACGGAUAUCUAGGCUCUCGCAUCGAUGAAGAACGUAGCGAAAUGCGAUACUUGGUGUGAAUUGCAGAAUCCCGCGAAUCAUCGAGUUUUUGGACGCAAGUUGCGCCCGAAGCCUUCCGGCCGAGGGCACGUCUGCCUGGGUGUCACGCAUCGUUGC